rnacentral:rRNA from 1 species
AAUGAACGCUGGCGGCGUGGUUAAGACAUGCAAGUCGAGCGGGACAGUAAACUGGUAGCAAUACAUUUAUUGUCCAGCGGCGAACGGGUGCGUAACACGUGAACAAUCUACCUUUAAGUGGGGAAUAGGCUCGGCGAAAGCCGAAUUAAUACCGCAUGUGGUGGCCUCGUCUCCUGAGAGACCUACUAAAGGUCGGGGACCGCAAGGCCUGACGCUUGAAGAGGAGUUCGCGGCCUANCAGCUAGUUGGCGAGGUAACGGCUCACCGAAGGCCUAAGACGGGUAGCGUGGUCUGAGAGGACUGAUCAGCCACACUGGAACUGGAGACACGGUCCAGACACCGUACGGGUA